UGACAUUACCUUUAGAAGAAGCACCGGCUAACUCCGUGCCAGCAGCCGCGGUAAUACGGAGGGUGCAAGCGUUAAUCGGAAUUACUGGGCGUAAAGCGUGCGUAGGCGGUUAUUUAAGUCAGAUGUGAAAGCCCCGGGCUUAACCUGGGAACUGCAUUUGAUACUGGGUAACUAGAGUUUAAUAGAGGAGAGUGGAAUUUCAGGUGUAGCGGUGAAAUGCGUAGAGAUCUGAAGGAACACCAGUGGCGAAGGCGACUCUCUGGAUUAAAACUGACGCUGAGGUACGAAAGCGUGGGUAGCAAACAGGAUUAGAUACCCUGGUAGUCCACGCCGUAAACGAUGUCAACUAGCCGUUGGGCCUUUAUACAGGUUUAGUGGCGCAGCUAACGCAUUAAGUUGACCGCCUGGGGAGUACGGCCGCAAGGUUAAAACUCAAAUGAAUUGACGG
rnacentral:rRNA from 1 species